ensembl:lncRNA
AUGGCUCUGGCCUCUGCUCCUUCCCUCUCGUUCCUUCCCUUUGCUCUCCCCCUCCUGGUUCUAGCUGUGCCAUCUCUUUUACGUACCUGUCCCUUCAUCCUUCCUCCCUGUCUCCUCCGAGUCGUCGGCUGCCUCCCUCAUCCCUUCCUCACUCCCUGCCCUCUGUCCCCUCAUCUCUCUGUCCGUCUCUCCCACCGUCUCAGACACUCCCGUACCUCGUCUUCUGUCUCCACCAUUUCUGUACUUUCUCUUCUCGCGUCUCUGGCCACCUCCUCUCCCGUAACCCACUCCUUAAUUUUUCUGUCCUUUAAGGGCUCCUGGCUGAUUCAGACAGCAAGUCCACACGCUGGACUCGUGACACAGAUUCUUUGGGUCACCAUUUUCACCCAGGCAGCCCAGAAAGCAAAGCUGAGCGUGAAUGAGGUCCUGGCUGGAGCCAGCUCCAGCAGGCCUCCCCGAGCCAGCCUGCACCACUGCCCCGGCAGUGACGAUGCACGCGCCCUGGGCCCUGCCGGCACCUGGGUCCCUUUCUGCCUGAAGCCUAGUCCACAGGGAGCCCACUCCCAGCACCACCCCACGGUUCGAAGGACACUUCCUUUCGCUAAAGGCAGACUCCAGCCCCAACAGUUGUUCUGACAGCAAACCUCUUUCUUCUCAUGGAAGCCAUGCCAUCACCUUGGUUUGGAGAGAGAGAUUUUUCCCCCCGUUCAUAAGCUUUCUUUUUCCUCUUUUCAUCUGAAGCUCCCUCUGCUUUUCAGCUGGUGAUUGCUCUGGUGAGACUGAAUGGACUUACUGGUGAAAUUACAUCUCUUUUUUUUUUUUUUUCUUUCUGUCUUGGUCCUGCCUAAAUUCCUACAAAAAUAUUUAAGUCAGAGACUCAGGCUAGUUCCUAAAUUUAUCAUAGUAAUUUGUCACUCCUACAGGAACAAAAGGGGACAUUUCCCUUAUAGCAUGUGGAGUCUCUCAUGUGACAAUUGAUUUGAAAGAGGACUCCCUCCAGAAUUCUGUGGAUAUACAUUUUACUUCNNNNNNNNNNNNNNNNNNNNNNNNNNNNNNNNNNNNNNNNNNNNNUUACCACAUUGGGUACGCGUGACUGUGGAUGGAAACCUACACACACACUUUAGUCUGUAAAUAUCCUUCCUCACUGAAAACUGUGCUUUGGAAAUCAUUUUUUGUACAGCUGUGCAGUUUCUUGUAGCAGCUGAGGACAAGCUUAAGACAGGUUGAAUGGUUGAGACAAAAAUCAUCGAAAAGACAGACAGAAUCUCCCUAGCAACUCAUGAGGACAGACAGCCAAAUGGCAAGGUUGACUCCCAAUGAGAUGGUGAACUUUUCUCCCUUUUGAAUUUGUGUUUCCUAAACGCGUCUUAACUUCCGAGUGCACCAGGCUGUAUGCGUGAGAUCCUCUCAGUAUGCCAAGUUUUGUAACAGUUUUCUCUCUGACUGGAUGCUUCUCCAUUGUGCAGGAUGGGAGGGGAGGGGGAAGACUCCUUGCCUGGGCUGGAGUUUACAGAGACACUGCACAGCUUACACUCCUGUUAAGUGUAAAUAUUCGACACUUCCAUUCCAUUUGUGUAAAAAAUAAAGCACACACGAUUAUAAAACCAAGAUGUAUAUUUCAUACUCACUGCGUCUUUGCAUAUUUAUUGCGUUGCCAGUUGCCAGCGGUGGCCCCAUUGUAAAAAAAAUGCUU